rnacentral:rRNA from 1 species
AUGAACGCUGGCGGCGUGCCUAAUACCUGCAAGUCGAGCGAACAGACGAGGAGCUUGCUCCUCUGACGUUAGCGGCGGACGGGUGAGUAACACGUGGAUAACCUACCUAUAAGACUGGGAUAACUUCGGGAAACCGGAGCUAAUACCGGAUAAUAUAUUGAACCGCAUGGUUCCAUAGUGAAAGACGGUUUUGCUGUCACUUAUAGAUGGAUCCGCGCCGCAUUAGCUAGUUGGUAAGGUAACGGCUUACCAAGGCAACGAUGCGUAGCCGACCUGAGAGGGUGAUCGGCCACACUGGAACUGAGACACGGUCCAGACUCCUACGGGAGGCAGCAGUAGGGAAUCUUCCGCAAUGGGCGAAAGCCUGACGGAGCAACGCCGCGUGAGUGAUGAAGGUCUUCGGAUCGUAAAACUCUGUUAUUAGGGAAGAACAAAUGUGUAAGUAACUAUGCACGUCUUGACGGUACCUAAUCAGAAAGCCACGGCUAACUACGUG